AUUGGGCAAAAUUACCUGCUGGCAAUCAGGGUUGGCACUGGUAUAUGCCAACUGGUUUAAAAGGACUUCACCAGCAUCUGGGUGAUCAAUUUGGUGCUCUAUAGCCUGCUGAAGAUUAUGUCAAUCCUGGAGACUGGAAGAGAUAAGAGAUUUUCAUCAAGGAACCCCAAAGAAUUUCUGGUUCCCUAAAGUUACUUCGAACCAGGAUUUUUAAACGUCCUGAGCUUGUCAUUUUUCUGCAGUGAGAUCUCCAGGACACUCUGAAGCGGAUAAUUCACCUUACAGUGACUGCAGUCCCCAUGUCCACCAUGAAGUGCUAUUGUGUCACCUUACACCACCUCGGAACUCUUCAGAGUCCCUUCCGCAAGACGGCUCUCACCAGAUGUGGUCCCUCAACCUUGGACUUCUCAGCAUCCAGAAAUAAGUACCUUUUCUUCAUAAAUUACCCAGUUUCAAU